GGCCGGGCUCCGCGCGGCGCUGAGCGGGACGGGCGCGGGAAGUGCAGCGGGAGCGGGAGGGUGAAGGGGAGGGUGAGGGUGAAGGUGAAGGUGAAAUGCCGGUGCCGGCGGCGGCCGUGGCCGUGGUGGCGAUGGCGGUGUUGGUGUUCGCGGAUCGGGCGCCUUGCCCUCCCCAGCGGCGGCGGAGCGGAGCGCAGCAGCGGAGUACAGAAGCCGAAAACAUGGAGACUGUUGUUAAUGAUCCUCUUCCCAAAAAGUAUGUGUCUGGCUGUGCCUAAUAAGCUCUUCAGAGGGGAGAAACCCUCUUGAAAGAAGAUGGGGCUAAAUUCCACAUGUGAAUUCUAGGAGUAGCUGUGUCUAAACCUGUUAACUUUUGGCUAGGGUAGGGUGGAUGUGUUUCAUCAUCUGGAGUUGAUACCUUUUGGGAGCAGUAAUAUGUGAAGCUGCUUUGGGAGCAGUAAGAUGUGAAGCAGAUCUAGUAAAAGCUAAUUUUAGGCUAGGUCUUUACCUCAAUUUUUAAACAGUUAAAAUUUGGAGCUUCAAUGAGAGCUUCUGCAGUCCAUCUGAUCUUCAUUAAGAGGGGCUGGAACCCAGCUUACUGUGCCUAAAUUAGCCUUGACUGCUUCUAUACAGACAAAUAGAGUUAGGAUUUCAUCAUGUGCUGCUUCUCUCUUUGGGCUGUCACUAAUGCUUAAGCUAUUACAGUACUGAUUUUGGUAGUUGAGUGGCUGUGUUGCACAGGGAUUGCUUCAGGGAUAGCUCCUCUGCUCUCAAAGUGCUGCAAAGGUUGCAAUGAGUGUACCUGUGCUGCAGAAGCUGCAGGUGAGUUUUUGAAGUCUGGAAAAUGGAAGUGGAAAGUCCAGCUGUAAUUUUGGUGUCUGUGUGAAUGUAAAGCAUUCAAAUGUAUGAAUAAGUCAAUAAAGAUACAUGACUGGCUGGA
rnacentral:lncRNA from 1 species